GAUGAACGCUGGCGGCGUGCCUAAUACAUGCAAGUCGAGCGAACGGACGAGAAGCUUGCUUCUCUGAUGUUAGCGGCGGACGGGUGAGUAACACGUGGAUAACCUACCUAUAAGACUGGGAUAACUUCGGGAAACCGGAGCUAAUACCGGAUAAUAUUUUGAACCGCAUGGUUCAAAAGUGAAAGACGGUCUUGCUGUCACUUAUAGAUGGAUCCGCGCUGCAUUAGCUAGUUGGUAAGGUAACGGCUUACCAAGGCAACGAUGCAUAGCCGACCUGAGAGGGUGAUCGGCCACACUGGAACUGAGACACGGUCCAGACUCCUACGGGAGGCAGCAGUAGGGAAUCUUCCGCAAUGGGCGAAAGCCUGACGGAGCAACGCCGCGUGAGUGAUGAAGGUCUUCGGAUCGUNAAACUCUGUUAUUAGGGAAGAACAUAUGUGUAAGUAACUGUGCACAUCUUGACGGUACCUAAUCAGAAAGCCACGGCUAACUACGUNGCAGCAGCCGCCGGGUAUACGUUAGUGGCAAGCGUUAUCCGGAGUUAUUGGGCGUAAAACGCGCGUAGGCGGUUUUUUAGUCUGAUGUGAAAGCCCACGGCUCAACCGUGGAGGGUCAUUGGAAACUGGAAAACUUGAGUGCAGAAGAGGAAAGUGGAAUUCCAUGUGUAGCGGUGAAAUGCGCAGAGAUAUGGAGGAACACCAGUGGCGAAGGCGACUUUCUGGUCUGUAACUGACGCUGAUGUGCGAAAGCGUGGGGAUCAAACAGGAUUAGAUACCCUGGUAGUCCACGCCGUAAACGAUGAGUGCUAAGUGUUAGGGGGUUUCCGCCCCUUAGUGCUGCAGCUAACGCAUUAAGCACUCCGCCUGGGGAGUACGACCGCAAGGUUGAAACUCAAAGGAAUUGACGGGGACCCGCACAAGCGGUGGAGCAUGUGGUUUAAUUCGAAGCAACGCGAAGAACCUUACCAAAUCUUGACAUCCUUUGACCCUUCUAGAGAUAGAAGUUUCCCCUUCGGGGGACAAAGUGACAGGUGGUGCAUGGUUGUCGUCAGCUCGUGUCGUGAGAUGUUGGGUUAAGUCCCGCAACGAGCGCAACCCUUAAGCUUAGUUGCCAUCAUUAAGUUGGGCACUCUAAGUUGACUGCCGGUGACAAACCGGAGGAAGGUGGGGAUGACGUCAAAUCAUCAUGCCCCUUAUGAUUUGGGCUACACACGUGCUACAAUGGACAAUACAAAGGGCAGCGAAACCGCGAGGUCAAGCAAAUCCCAUAAAGUUGUUCUCAGUUCGGAUUGUAGUCUGCAACUCGACUACAUGAAGCUGGAAUCGCUAGUAAUCGUAGAUCAGCAUGCUACGGUGAAUACGUUCCCGGGUCU
rnacentral:rRNA from 1 species